rnacentral:lncRNA from 1 species
UCUUUCUCUCUCUUCCGCCUCUCUUCCUCCAUCACACUCUCACACAGGCACAUCGCACAUAGAUCGAACUCCGAUAUGACCAGAUCAGACACCGAUCAAGACACCAAACGUUUCUAUAUGGAAGUCGUCAUCACCGGCGCUAUCAACAAGUGAUGGGUUCGUCAACACCGUCUUCUGGAUCCAGACCAUUCUCGGCCGAAGCUUAGGUCGGGUAUAGGGCCGACGAGAUCGGAAGAGUACGGCAUCCCCGAUGAAUAUCUUCGUAGAAAGACAACUGUAGUAAGGAGUAACUUGAAUCCAGUCUUGAAUGAGGAGCUCAUGUUGUCUGUUCCUUGGCGAUAUGGAGAAUUGAAGGCAUGGAGCUUUACAGUUGUUAACCUGAAGGUGGAUUAGCUUUUGGUUGCCUUGGAGGAGCAGGAGACUACUUUUCUCAAACAGUUUGAUCAAGCUCCAAAAAAGCUUUAGCCAAGUUCAUAAGUUCAAGAUUUACGGCAAGGAUUUACUACAGUUAAUCAGGAAGCUAAAGCAUUAUUAAGAAGAUACAGAUAUCGUACAGGAUCCAUAAGAAACUAAUAGAAAGCAUAUGAAAGUUGCUGGAGGUAGAGGUAGCAGAUGCAGCUAAGGGGAGGAACAUGAAGAGAUUUUUGUUUUUUUAUGUUGUAGUUUCGUUUUACUUUUAUGAAUUGUACAAUAUAUUUUAGAAAUAUAUAGUAUAUUUGAAGUUUUAUAUGAAUUGUACAAUAUAUUUUGAGUUAUUUUUUUUAUAUAUACUCCCAAUUUUGCCACUGAUGUUGGUGGCAUUAAGAAUACACACUGAUUCAGUAACAGUGGGAAGGGAAAAGGUAUCUUGCAG